GGGUGUGAAAGGUUCCAGCUGUGGUAUCCAGCACUCCCAGGUGUGAGGGGUGAUUGAGCUGCUUAGCCUGGCUGGCUAGGUGCCCCUUCCCAAACCCUUUGCUCCUUGUGCAUCUCUCCUCUCCUGUAUGUUCAUUUGAAGAGAAUGACCAGGAUGAGGGGCCUGUGCUUCUCUUCUUCAAUCAAAUGUCUAAGUAGCUCUCUACUCCCUGUCCAGCACCUCCACAGUCUGCCUUCUGCUUUUGUUCAACAGGAGAUUCAAGAUUUGGAAGUUAUAAGUGUUUCUGAUGAAUUUGUCUUCAAAUAAAAGACGUAGAACCCAU
rnacentral:snRNA from 1 species